rnacentral:rRNA from 1 species
AUUGAACGCUGGCGGCAGGCUUAACACAUGCAAGUCGAGCGGGGGAAGGUAGCUUGCUACUGGACCUAGCGGCGGACGGGUGAGUAAUGCUUAGGAAUCUGCCUAUUAGUGGGGGACAACAUCUCGAAAGGGAUGCUAAUACCGCAUACGUCCUACGGGAGAAAGCAGGGGAUCUUCGGACCUUGCGCUAAUAGAUGAGCCUACGUCGGAUUAGCUAGUUGGUGGGGUAAAGGCCUACCAAGGCGACGAUCUGUAGCGGGUCUCAGAGGAUGAUCCGCCACACUGGGACUGAGACACGGCCCAGACUCCUACGGGAGGCAGCAGUGGGGAAUAUUGGACAAUGGGCGCAAGCCUGAUCCAGCCAUGCCGCGUGUGUGAAGAAGGCCUUAUGGUUGUAAAGCACUUUAAGCGAGGAGGAGGCUACUUUAGAUAAUACCUAGAGAUAGUGGACGUUACUCGCAGAAUAAGCACCGGCUAACUCUGUGCCAGCCGCCGCGGUAAUAC